UUGCUAGUAAUGGCAGGUCAGCAUACUGCCGUGAAUACGUUCCCGGGCCUUGUACACACCGCCCGUCACACCAUGAGAGUUGGGGAUACCCGAAGCCUGUGAGCUAACUAUUUAUAGGAGCAGCAGUCGAAGGUAGAAUCAAUGAUUGGGGUGAAGUCGUAACAAGGUAAC
rnacentral:rRNA from 1 species